AUCAUCAAGUGAUGAAAUUAGUAUAAAUCUUAGGACACCUUCCUACACAACUUGCAAUGGUUGUGGAUGAGAAUGCUAUUACUUAUUCUGAUGAUGAU
rfam:Vitis vinifera, whole genome shotgun sequence of line PN40024, unoriented chromosome 16, chr16